CAAAUAAAAAUUACAUGAAACUACAUUAAACUACAAAAAACCACAAUUAACUACAAAUUUGAUUCAACAGUAUAAUUUGCCAAUCAAAUUUAGGUCAACUGUGACAGUUCCAAAUAAACAUUACAUUACACUACAUUAAACUACAAAAAACUACAAUUGACUAAAUUUGAUUACACAGUAUAUUCAGCCAAACAAUUACACAUUAACUCCGAAUAGCAACAAUUAACUACAAUUUGUAUAAGCAACCCUAAUACAUUAUAUUAUUACAAAAAACACUUAGAUGCCAAACAAACAAUUGAAUUCUAAUUUUUUGGCAAAAAAAUAUUAAACUACAAAACAUUGUCGAGAAAAAAAAAGUUGUUUACCUUAACUGAAAUUUGUUGUGGAACCAAUUUUGUGGUUUUUUAGAGUGUUUCAACUUUUUUUGCUUUGAGGGGGAAUGAGACACCUUCUGUAUUUUUGUUUUUUGAACUUUGGGUGAAUCGUCCACAAAAUCAUCAUAUUUUUUUAGAGUGUUUCAACAUUUUUUGCUUUGAGGGGGAAUGAGACACCUUCUGUAUUUUUGUUUUUUGAACUUUGGGUAAAUCGUCCACAAAAUCAUCAUCGUCGACCCUCAAGCUUUUCCCCUUUCGCUUGCGUUGUUUGUCGGCUUCUGUUUCUACACCGGUA
rnacentral:lncRNA from 1 species